GAAUUUUAUGUAAUGAACUUAUUUUAAUUGUUUUUAUUUGAAUUGAACUUGUUUUAAUUCAAUUGUAUUUAUGUUUUGAAUAAAUUAAUAAAUUGUAUUAAUAUUUAAUUGUAUAUGUAUUGAAAUUAACUUUUUUUUAAUAAACCACAUAUUACCGUUAAUUAAUGAAUUAAUAAUUCAUUUUAUGCACUAUGUGUUGUAUUUAUUAUAAUAAUGGGUGUAUUGAAAUUAAUAUUUUUUUCCCAUUUUAUUAUUGUUGGUAUUCUUUAGUGAUGUAUUACUUAAAUGUUUGUAAAAUGAGGGGAAAUUGAAGGAAAAGUGAUAGAAUUUUAAACCUACACAAUUUAGAUAACCGUUAUCAGCUUUUCGGCACGUGACUGAUUAUAACCAAUGAGACUGCGGGAUCUUUGCGUUACGUAGGUAAUCCGGUUCUCUCGCCCGUGAUCUCGGUUCUGUCAGGUAAGUUAAGCGUCAUAAACUUUGAGUUGUCUUUUCAAAUUCGCAAAAAUCAUCAAAAUAUUAGUGAAUUGAUUGAUUUUAUAUAAAAACAUAACCAUUUUAGCUUGAACAUGAGUAUUACUUGUUGCGGUUCAAACUAUAAAGCGGCGACUAGCCACUACCGUUAUUUGAGGUAACGUUAAUCUGAGGUAAUUUAACUAAAAAUUUUAUCUUUUUGAAACUUAAAUGUUAACUAAUCGACUAUGAUAAGUUCACAUUCCUCUUGUUGUCCAUUUUUAUUUAUUAUUGCUAUGAAAGGAUGUUGUUUAAAGGGCCGAGCUAUGAAUAUAAAGUCCGAGCAAGUCGAUGAACGUAACGUUACAUAUAGCUAAUAAACAUGUCUUAGUUACAAACGGACAGCUUCACAAAAAACACGAUGUAUUUACAUGUAUGUUUUUUUGCUUUACAUCAUUACAAAAGUUGUUACUUUGAAAGGCUUGGCUGCGAGCGCGCUGUCGCGUGCACUGCAUCGGCUGAGAGAGAAGACGACUCGCAGGCGCAGCAUAAGGCGCAUGUGCCCAUAAAGAUUAAACAAGCCAUUUUAUAGUGUGAUAUACAAUUAAAGUAUGAAUGAUAACAGGAUAAUUAAAUUUAGCACAGCAUUUUAAUGUAGCCUAAUGUCUGUAGGUAAUUGGUAGCCUACUGAUAGAUGUGUGACAUGAACAUAUUCUAUAUUGUCCACACAAUUCUAUUUCUUUCCACAGUUUGUUGCAGUUUAAUCUACUUAAGAUGUUCAUAACAUUGGUGUAAUAAUUUCUAUUGACUGUAUAUAGUUCAUCAGUACGUGCAUCCAUGUAGACCUAUGUAAUAUUUGACUUUUAAUGUUUCUUUUCCCUUCCCUUUUUCUUUUGUAAACAGAUCAUUAGUUCUGCUCUGUCAUUUCUUCUAUUAUCAGUCAACAUCCAACGAACCCAAAGGCUCUUUUAAGAGCCGCCCACCCUGCAUCACAGAUCAUUAGUUCUGCUCUGUCAUGGGAAACAUAGGAAAACUGCUAUCAGCCAACAUCCAGCAAACCCAAAGGCUCUGCAUCACCCACCCUGCAUCACAGCCAUCAUCCAACAAAUCCAAAGGCUCUUUUAAGAGCCGCCCACCCUGCAUCACAGUAGAUUGGUUGCCUUGUCAAUCUAUUGCCAUUCAUAUCUGCUGAAGCUCAGCAUUGUUGGUCAUAUCUGGUGAGGCUCACCAUUAGAUUGGACGUCUUGUCCAUCUAGUGUUGGUCAUAUCUGGUGUAGCUCACUAUAGUUGAUUGGAAGUCUUGUCCAUCUAGUGCCAGAAAGCCUGACAGAGGGACCAGUUACAGCUCCAGUCUGCCCUGCUGCCUUCUUGAUCAACACCGAUCUGAGGACUACGUUGGAAAAUCAGCAUCAUCAACACACACACACAGUCAUUUGUUUUAUAACCAACUGUUUGGCUUUACAUUACAUAGUGUUCAUUUUCUAUAGUCUUGUAUAUUACAUAAUCAACUUUAUUUAGCUUUUGUGUUAAUGACUUUGCUUAUCAGUAAGUCUAACGUAUUUUGGUGAUAUCCGUGUUUAGCAUUUUUUGAACUGCCUUUCAGUUUAUGUCGUCUUGUAUAGCAUAUUUAACCAUACAGUUUACGUUUUAAUUCCAUUUCAUAUAAAAGUUAAAUACUUUGAGGUAAAUUGUCUAAUCUAAUAUCUUCUUUUACUAUACAAUAUAUUGAAGAAUAAAUAAACUAGAUCCCGUUUGCAUUCAUCAGUUAAACAUUUUUGUGUAUUAUUUUUAGUAAAGUUACUUAAGUGUUUAUAUUCCAUUGUUUCUUGGUUGACGGAUAGUUGAUAUCCAACUGUGGUACUGUCAUACGAUUAACAAUAGCAGCUAUCAUUCGGUGAGUAACUGUUUUUAUUAGCGUUUCACAAAUAUCUGCUGUUUGCUCUCAUAACCCAGCGUCGUCAUAAUGCCAAAAAAAGGGAAGAGAAGUGACGGCCAGAAGCAGCGCCGACAGGUACAAGCUUCAUUUGGCAUCAUCGUAAUGCCAAGAAAAGGGGAGAAAAGUGAUGCUCAGAAGCAGUGCAGAAAGGUAGAAGCUUCAUUUGCCAAUAAUGUCAGCACCACCUCUGCGUCAGGUGUGAGUGACGUAAAUCCUUACGUGCUGUCUGUUGCAGCAUCCCACUGUCAAACUGAUGCGAGGUACAGUGAUUACUCCAAUGGUCGUCCGUGUACUUGUAAUGCAUUAAUGUUUCUCGCAGUGCACAAUGAAUGUAAUGAGCUGCACAGUUCAGAUUUGGAUCGCGUGUUACAGAAAGGUGAUGCUUUGUAUACUAGUGUCAAAAAAAAACACUGCAAGGAAAAGGACAGUUUGUUAAUAAUUGUUUAAAUUUUGACGAGCUCCGUAACACUAUUAAGACAAACAUGAGCUGUUACAACGUCCUUAAACAUCCCCUGAGGUUUGGAUUUCUGCGAGACACACCGGCUAUCGGCGGGUAUGACAACCUUGAGAACACGCUGCAGUGUCUCAGAGCUGACGUGAGUGACGCGCUGCUUCUGUGUGGUGAGACGUGCAUCGCUGUGUUCAGAGAUCGCUCAGGGAGGUUUGGAUUUU